UACAGAGGGGGCAAGCGUUGUUCGGAAUUACUGGGCGUAAAGGGCGCGUAGGCGGCCUGUUAAGUCGGACGUGAAAUCCCUCGGCUCAACCGGGGAACUGCGUCCGAUACUGGCGGGCUUGAAUUCGGGAGAGGGAUGUGGAAUUCCAGGUGUAGCGGUGAAAUUCGUAGAUAUUGGGAAGAACACCGGUGGCGAAGGCGGCUCACUGGCUCAUAUCUGACGCUCAGGCGCGACAGCGUGGGGAUCAAACAGG
rnacentral:rRNA from 1 species